rnacentral:sRNA from 1 species
GUGAACCUGCGGAAGGAUCAUUACCACACCCUCAAAUACCUAGUUGUAAUCACUUUCGGGUGAUUAUAACCUGGUACGUCUCGUGAACCGUUAACAUAUUGGAAAGGCCAUUUAUGCUAAGCCAUUUAUGGUUUUUAGUGGUCUUUCCGUUUUAUAUUUUGUUCCACUCUCUGAGUGCGAUCAACCUUUGAUUUAAAGACUUUAAGAAAAUAGUAAUAAAAAUCACUUUCAGCAACGGAUGUCUAGGUUCCCACAACGAUGAAGAACGCAGCGAAAUGCGAUACGUCAUGCGAAUUGCAGAAUCAAGUGAGUCAUCAAAAUUUUGAACGCAUCUUGCACUGCCUCGGCAGUAUGUCUGUUGGAGUGUCUGUAUUUACCCACAACUCCUUCCUAAUGGGAGUUUAGACGGUCUUCCGCGAUAUGAUUGCGUGGAAGACUCAGAUGUAAUCUGUUCGCCGUCUACUGUAGCAAGUUGACUCGUACGUCUGCACUUUAAUGUCAGAAAACUAGCAAUUUGCCUCGGAAAACAAGAACUUAAAAUCUAAUCGGACCUCCAAUCAGUCAAGAUUACCCGCUGAAUUUAAGCAUAUCAAUA